UCACCGGUUCACGUACAAUCACCGAGGUUAAGCAACAUCGAGCCCGGUUAGUACCGAGAUAGGUGACCACUUGUGAAUAUCAUGUGCUGUAA